UUCGGGACGCCGGCGAGUGGCGAACGGGUGAGUAACACGUGGAGACCUGCCCUGGGGUGGGGGAUAACAGCUAGAAAUGGCUGCUAAUACCGCAUACGCCUUACGAGGGAAAGAUUUAUUGCCCCAGGAGGGUUCCGCGUCGGAUUAGCUUGUUGGUGGGGUAACGGCCUACCAAGGCGACGAUCCGUAGCUGGUCUUAGAGGAUGAUCAGCCACACUGGGACUGAGACACGGCCCAGACUCCUACGGGAGGCAGCAGUGGGGAAUAUUGCGCAAUGGGGGAAACCCUGACGCAGCGAUGCCGCGUGGGUGAAUAAGGCCUUAGGGUUGUAAAGCCCUUUCAGUGGGAGCGAUGAUGACGGUACCCACAGAAGAAGCCCCGGCUAACUCCGUGCCAGCAGCCGCGGUAAUACGGAGGGGGCGAGCGUUGU
rnacentral:rRNA from 1 species